AUGCAAGUCGAGCGGUAACAGAGAGUAGCUUGCUACUCUGCUGACGAGCGGCGGACGGGUGAGUAAUGCCUAGGAAUCUGCCUAAUAGUGGGGGAUAACUUGCCGAAAGGUAAGCUAAUACCGCAUACGUCCUACGGGAGAAAGGAGGGGACCUUCGGGCCUUUCGCUAUUAGAUGAGCCUAGGUCGGAUUAGUUAGUUGGUGAGGUAAUGGCUCACCAAGACCGCGAUCCGUAACUGGUCUGAGAGGAUGAUCAGUCACACUGGAACUGAGACACGGUCCAGACUCCUACGGGAGGCAGCAGUGGGGAAUAUUGGACAAUGGGGGAAACCCUGAUCCAGCCAUGCCGCGUGUGUGAAGAAGGUCUUAGGAUUGUAAAGCACUUUAAGUUGGGAGGAAGAGCAGUUAACUAAUAUUUGACUGUUUUGACGUUACCGACAGAAUAAGCACCGGCUAACUUCGUGCCAGCAGCCGCGGUAAUACGAAGGGUGCAAGCGUUAAUCGGAAUUACUGGGCGUAAAGCGCGCGUAGGUGGUUCGUUAAGUUAGGAGUGAAAGCCCCGGGCUCAACCUGGGAAUUGCUUCUAAAACUGGCGAGCUAGAGUAUGGUAGAGGGUGGUGGAAUUUCCUGUGUAGCGGUGAAAUGCGUAGAUAUAGGAAGGAACAUCAGUGGCGAAGGCGACCACCUGGACUAAUACUGACACUGAGGUGCGAAAGCGUGG
rnacentral:rRNA from 1 species